rnacentral:rRNA from 1 species
UACGUAGGGUGCAAGCGUUGUCCGGAAUUAUUGGGCGUAAAGAGCUCGUAGGCGGUCUGUCGCGUCCGUUGUGAAAACUCGAGGCUCAACCUCGGGCUUGCAGUGGAUACGGGCAGACUAGAGUGCGGUAGGGGGAGACUGGAAUUCCUGGUGUAGCGAUGGAAUGCGCAGAUAUCAGGAGGAACACCGAUGGCGAAGGCAGGUCUCUGGGCCGCAACUGACGCUGAGGAGCGAAAGCGUGGGGAGCGAACAGG